AAUCGCGACCGCGCGUUAAAAUUGGCGCACGACCGUUGGCUUUAUCGGUUUGGCAGGCAGCGACGGCGUGUCAUGUUAUAACGGCGAUUAGUAUAACUAUUACACGUUUAAUAAGCGUACCGCCGCCUUCUCAAAUGGGUCCGCUACUUACCGCAAGCACUCAAAUUGGCGGACGUCCCCUAGCUGGACUUCCCGAUAGUCACGCUUUGGUAAAAACAGCUAGGCGGCGCGUCGCCAGACCUGUCGCUUUGCCUUUUUUACCACGUCCGAAUAGGUGCAUAAGACAUGUAAAGGACGUUAGGCCUUUGCAACACGUUUUUGGACCUAUGCAAUUCGGUCUGCGUGUGCCACAGAGCGGACCGCGAUAAGCUAGUCAAGGGUAUAUGCGUAGUAUACCUUACGCCCCAUAAUGAGUGGCGUUCCAUUUUACAUGCAGCCUACCGG
rnacentral:rRNA from 1 species